rnacentral:rRNA from 1 species
AAAAAACAUGUCCUAUUGUUAAUUAUUUUAUUUUAGGUCUGUCCUGCCCUAUGAGUUUAUAUCUUGAAUGGCCGCGGUAAUUUGACCGUGCGAAGGUAGCAUAAUCAUUUGUCUAUUAAUUGUAGGCUUGUAUGAAUGGUUUAAUGUAAUAUUAUCUUUCUUUGUUUUAUAAUUGUGAACUUAAUAUUUUAGUGAAAAAGCUUAAAUUUAUUUGGAGGACGAGAAGACCCUAUAGAAUUUUAUUUACUGUUUUUUAAUCAUUUUUGGUAAAUCAAUAUAUGGUUUAAUAUUUAGUAAAUUUUGUUGGGGCGACAUGGAAAUUUUUUUAACUUUCUGUAUUGAUAUUGUUAUUGAUUUAUAUACUAAAGAUCCUUUAUUAUGGAUUAUUAGAUUAAAUUACCUUAGGGAUAACAGCGUAAU